GACGAACGCUGGCGGCGUGCUUAACACAUGCAAGUCGAACGGAAAGGCCCUGCUUUUGUGGGGUGCUCGAGUGGCGAACGGAUGAGUAACACGUGAGUAACCUGCCCUUGACUUUGGGAUAACUUCAGGAAACUGGGGCUAAUACCGGAUAGGAGCUCCUGCUGCAUGGUGGGGGUUGGAAAGUUUCGGCGGUUGGGGAUGGACUCGCGGCUUAUCAGCUUGUUGGUGGGGUAGUGGCUUACCAAGGCUUUGACGGGUAGCCGGCCUGAGAGGGUGACCGGCCACAUUGGGACUGAGAUACGGCCCAGACUCCUACGGGAGGCAGCAGUGGGGAAUAUUGCACAAUGGGCGGAAGCCUGAUGCAGCAACGCCGCGUGCGGGAUGAAGGCCUUCGGGUUGUAAACCGCUUUCGCCUGUGACGAAGCGUGAGUGACGGUAAUGGGUAAAGAAGCACCGGCUAACUACGUG
rnacentral:rRNA from 1 species